rfam:Prunus persica cultivar Lovell chromosome G6, whole genome shotgun sequence.
AUACUUACCUGGACAGGGUCAAUGGGUGAUCAAGAAGGCCCAUGGCCUAGGUUGGUGACCUCCAUUGCACUUAGGAGGGGUGCCUGCCUAUGGUCUCCUCAAGUAGGAGAGCCAAUGUCAUAAUUUGUUGCCGAGGGGGCUUGCGUUCGCGCAGCCCCUAC